rnacentral:lncRNA from 1 species
GUACACAUCCCCAUGACUAAUUGUCCACGACUGAGAACAUACUGUUUAGCACACGGAACUCUACUCAGUCAUCUGUGGUGAACUAAAUGGGUAGGAAAUCUAAAAAAGAGGGGCUAUGUGUAUAUGUAAAACUGAUUCACUUUGCUCUACAGCAAAAACUAACACUUCAGAGCAACUAUGUUCCAAUAAAAAUUAAUUUAAAAAAUUUAAAAAGAAGAAAAAGAACUAAACUUUAAAGGAGAAAGGUCAAAGAGCCAACAAAGAAAAAAAAAAAAGUCCAUUGCUAAGUUUUAAUAAUAGAUGCCACACGUUGCUACACAGAGAAUACAAGUAUAUGUGACUCUUAUGCCUAUGGAUAUGUAUGUACAUUGAACCUCUGGAAUUACCAGCACGUGAGGGAUCAGAAAAAGAAGCCAAUAGGAAAGACUGGGGAAGAGUUACAAGAGCUAGUGGCCAAGACAGAGUUCCGAGAAAGAAGUAUUUAACAGGGCAAAAAGAGCAAAAACAUCCUAAGAAGUGCCCAAUGGAUCUGACAACAGAGUCACUGAUGACCUUGACAAAAAUGAUUUCAGUAGAUAGUUAAGGGCAAAAGCCAGUUUACAGUAGGUCAGUCAGUUCAGUUGCUCAGUUGUGUCUGAGUCAUUUUGACCCCAUGGACUGCAACACGCCAGGCCUCCCUGUCCAUCACCAAUUCCCA